CAUAGAUAAACCAGAACCAUGUCGGACUACAGAUCUCAAUCGCGGAGUGGCGGGGGACGUGGCGGCCAGGAGUACUCCAACGAUGACGAUCCGCCGAUGUCGCGGCUUUUCAUCAUUUGCAACAAGGCGCACACGGAGGAGGAUUUCCGUGAAGCCUUCUCGCCAUACGGCGAAAUCGAGGAUAUUUGGGUGGUGAAGGACAAGCACACGCAGGAGAACAAGGGAAUCGCCUACGUCAAGUUCUCCAAGACGUCCGAUGCCGCCAAGGCGCAGGAGGAGAUGAACGGCAAGACCAUUGGCAAGAUGGAUCGCACCCUCAAAGUGCUGGUGGCAGCCAAUCGCAAUCAGGGCUCAAAUAAGUCUGAGAACGAGCAGGAGAAGUACGUGAGGCUCUUCAUAGUAAUCCCCAAAACAGCCACCGAGGAGGAUAUUCGAGAGGAAUUCUCCCAGUGGGGCGAUGUGGAAUCGGUCACAAUUGUCAAGGAGAAGAACAAUGGCAAUCCCAAGGGCUUUGGAUAUGUCCGCUUCACCAAGUUCUACUAUGCAGCGGUGGCUUUCGAGAACUGCUCCGCCAAGUAUAAAGCAGUUUUUGCCGAGCCAAAGGGUUCCACACGCACACAGAGGGACCAGUACGGUCGUCCCUCCGAGGACAAUCCCUUGUAUAGCAGCUCGGGACGUGGCAACUCCAAUUUUAAUGGAGGCGGUAGCAGCAGCGGUGGCGGCGGCAGCAGCAGCUACAACAACGACUGGAAUGUGUCGCAGAACAACGACAUGGCGGCCUUCCUGCGCAUGCAGAAUGUCCCAGUGGCCCAGCCCUCCUGCCUGGAAGUCAACGUGAGCAACUGCGUCAACCAGGAUCAGCUCUGGCGACUCUUCGACAUCAUUCCCGGCUUGGAUUACUGCCAAAUCAUGCGGGAACAUGGACCGCGCACCAAUGAGGCCUUAGUGGUGUAUGACAACCCAGAAGCAGCUAUUUAUGCCAAGGACAAACUCCAUGGCUUGGAGUACCCAAUGGGCGAACGCAUUAUUGUCAAAGUCAAUGGAAUGAGCUCAGCUCGAAUGGACACAUCCUUUAUAGACAAGCGCACCAAAAAGGAUGCCAUCUGCAAUGUGCCUUUGCCCCCAACGCAACCACUGGCAUCGCCGGACGACCAGGUGGCCCAACGACUAUUUAUUGUGCUCUCAGCGAACUUGCCGCAUUCGAUAUUGAAAAACAUAUUCUCUUGCUGGUCGGGACUGAUUGACGUCUACCUGCUGCCGAACAAGAACUGUGGCUACGUCAAGUAUGCGGAGGCCGAGAGUGCUCAAAUGGCCAUUCGCACUCUGAAUGGCGCCGAAAUAUGCGGCACCAAAAUCAAGGUCAUGGAGGCUGAGGAGCGCAGUGGAUCCGAUGGCGAUGAUGGCGGUCGCAAGCGUUUAAGGCGGAAUUGAGUGUAAGUAGCUAGUUGAGAAUGCAUAAAUCCCAUAUCUAUUAAUGUAGCCAUAGUUGGACUGAGUGUGUGCCGUGGUCCGAGACCCACUGACAACCAAGAACUUACAGAGAACGCAAUGUACGAGUACGUAACUAACUUGAGCAUACAGUCCGAUAAAAACAGUUGAA
rnacentral:misc_RNA from 1 species